GACAGAGGGUGCAAACGUUGUUCGGAAUUACUGGGCGUAAAGCGUGUGUAGGCGGCUGGGCAAGUCGGAUGUGAAAGCCCCGGGCUCAACCCGGGAAGUGCACUCGAUACUGCCUAGCUCGAGUCUCGGAGAGGUUGGUGGAAUUCUCGGUGUAGAGGUGAAAUUCGUAGAUAUCGAGAGGAACACCGGUGGCGAAGGCGGCCAACUGGACGAAGACUGACGCUGAGACACGAAAGCGUGGGGAGCGAACCGG
rnacentral:rRNA from 1 species